rnacentral:rRNA from 1 species
GAGUUUGAUCCGUGGCUACAGGACAACGCUGGCGGCGUGCCUAACACAUGCAAGUCGAACGAAGCUCUGCGAUACAAGGACUUCGGGUCAAGGUUGAACGGAUGACUUAGUGGCGGACGGGUGAGUAACGCGUGAGGAACCUGCCUUUCAGUGGGGGACAACAGUUGGAAACGACUGCUAAUACCGCAUAAUGUAUUCUGACCGCAUGAUCGGAAUACCAAAGAUUUAUUGCUGAAAGAUGGCCUCGCGUCUGAUUAGAUAGUUGGUGAGGUAACGGCUCACCAAGUCGACGAUCAGUAGCCGGACUGAGAGGUUGAACGGCCACAUUGGGACUGAGAUACGGCCCAGACUCCUACGGGAGGCAGCAGUGGGGAAUAUUGGGCAAUGGGGGAAACCCUGACCCAGCAACGCCGCGUGAAGGAAGAAGGCUUUCGGGUUGUAAACUUCUUUUACCAGGGACGAAGGACGUGACGGUACCUGGAGAAAAAGCCACGGCUAACUACGUG